GAAACUUGUUCAACUCAUGUUUACUUUAUCUGACACAUCAAACAAAAUUUCAUGAGGACAAUCAAGGAUGGAGAUCUUAAGGAUGUAGUACAUAAUAUGGGUAAAAAUAUUAUCUUGCAGAUUUUUUUAUUUGUGUUAUUAUUAACUUCACUAUCUAACUAAUUUUUUCCUUAACUUACAGUUUAUGCACUAAACAUACCCUUGUUCAAAUACUAUUGUGGUAUAAUCCAUGAGGCAAAUCAGCAUGCAUUAGAUUAGGUGGAUAGUAUAUCGAAAGAUAAAUGGACUCAAACAUACGACGAGGGUCGACUAUGG
rnacentral:lncRNA from 1 species